rnacentral:rRNA from 1 species
CCCAGACUCCUACGGGAGGCAGCAGUGGGGGAUAUUGCACAAUGGGGGGAACCCUGAUGCAGCGACGCCGCGUGGGUGAAGGAGCGUUUCGGCGCGUAAAGCCCUAUCGGCAGGGAAGAAGGAGGACGGUACCUGACUAAGAAGCCCCGGCUAACUACGUGCCAGCAGCCGCGGUAAUACGUAGGGGGCAAACGUUAUCCGGAUUUACUGGGUGUAAAGGGGGCGCAGACGGCAGCGCAAGCCAGGAGUGAAAGCCCGGGGCCCAACCCCGGGACUGCUCUUGGAACUGCGCGGCUGGAGUGCAGGAGGGGCAGGCGGAAUUCCUGGUGUAGCGGUGAAAUGCGUAGAUAUCAGGAGGAACACCGGUGGCGAAGGCGGCCUGCUGGACUGCGACUGACGUUGAGGCCCGAAAGCGUGGGGAGCAAACAGGAUUAGAUACCCUUGUA